AAAUCAGGUAGGACUACCCGCUGAACUUAAGCAUAUCAAUA
rnacentral:rRNA from 2 species